GCCAUAUUUGAGGUCGAUGAAUGAUAGGCGAGCGUUUGGAUGUCCUGCCUGAUGUACUGUGUUACCAUAGACUAGCCGUUAAUGAUCUGUUAGUCACGGACUGCGUGACUUCGCCUUACUCCUCGGUGAAGG